GUUGACUGCUAAGAUUUCCAAGUUUGAUGAAGCAAUAAUUAACAGUGCAUACCUUAAAAAAAAGCAAUUCAUACAAUCCCCUUGUGAAAUUGUGCCAUUUAUUCUGACCAAUAUUUCUGCAUAUUGUAAGAAGUCUGUCUCUGAUGCCAAUAUGUCUGCUGGCCACACAUUCCCUUGAUCUUAUCAUUAUCACAAUACAGUUGGUACAAUGGUAGAAUAGCGACCGGGAGUGAGAGAUUGGGAACCAUUCAAGUCAACAGACGUGCUAAUUCAAUCACAACAGGACGGCCAAUACACUAUGGCCUAAUUGAUAGGUGUUACAAGGACUGACUACAUCCGUCUUGGUAUGUAUAUUCAACACUACUGAUCAAAGCUUCGAAAACAAAUAAGAAGCAGCCUCUGGAAAGGUUCGUGGUUCAUUCUGACUCUGCUGAAUCCAAGGUGUCAUUCGUGCGCUUUGUCACUGCCGGUAUUGGAAAUAAACUUUGUACUUUUUCAUCACGUUCGAGAGACGUCCUUUUUUCCUUACAACUGGCGAGCCACCCAGCGAGGAAUUCCGAAAAAAAAAAAAAAAAAACCGGGGACACUAAGAAAUCCAGCAUAAAUAUGUGGGAGACCCUCUUGACAGUAAUACUACCGGUGAUGGCGAUGACACAAGAGUGCCCAGAGCAGCGGCCAGCACCUCUGUCUGGGAUAAUUGCAAGACCACACCAGGGCGCCCUGAUCAACAAUGUCCAAUGGGUCCAUAUUCCAGUCCUGGUGAACUUGACAGCAUGGUCUCCAGAUCUGGACGAGCACUGCAAAGGGGAGAGCGUGACCCAGAUGUACAAGGACCUCAUGACAACAGCAUUCCUGAAAUACCAUGACAUGGUGGCUGCCAACUUCCAGAGCGACAGCCCAACCCCCACACCUACCAGACGAAAACUGCUCGGGUUCCUGGAUGGUGUUCUAGGAGCUACGGGAACCGGGUUAGGUAUUUCAAAUUGGAUGGAUACCCUACAAAUGAAAAGGAAUGAACUAAAACUGAAGGAGUUGAUUGCCACUCAGGUCCUACAAACUGACGCUUUCUUACAAGAGGGCCUAAAGGAGGAACAGGACACAGUAGGAAAUAUACACACCAUUGCAUCUGCACUGUCAAUCCUUGCUGACAGGGCCAGGAAAGCAUUUAAAACCAUUCACAAAGAAGUGUAUUGUGCCCAGUUUUCCUCAGUUAAAUAUCAAGAGAUUUCACACAUACUCCAGGAGAUCCAGGCUGGCAGAGUGCCAAUAACUCUCUUCACAGAGGAGGUUGUUAUGAAAUGGUUUGGACUAAACAAAUGUUUCAACACAUCCUCGGACAAUUUCAAAGACUUCAUGACUAACCUUGACAAAUGCAAACUGCCGAUUCCAUAUAGUAAACUAAUCCAAAUGGCGAGGAUCACCUCCCAUCCUAUCCCGGCUGGAUUUUACAGCCCAUUCGAUUAUGGCCCUCUCAUGGAGGGUACCAAUUUGCCCUUCUCUCCAAAGGGAGGAAAACCAUCAAAACCAAGCAAUAAGAUUCCCCCCAUACAAAUCAUACGAUGGUGGAAUGAGACUGUGUUUAACAAUUUACAGGACAAAACAUGGGCAUGUUCUGCUGGAAACUCUCUCCCACAGUUUGGCUGUUUCAUGAGACAAAUGUAUGCCAUGCUAGUAACGGUUUCUAUCCCUGUCUUCCAACCUGAGCAGGUAAUGGACAGAAUUGUAAAGCUUGAGAGUAUUGGCAGUUUACAAGGAAAUGUGCUAAAGGAGAGAAAAGACAUUCCAAAUUUUAUAACCCAACUAAAAACAGGUGAAUGGAGGGCUGUAGACACACAGUGCUGUGAGAAAACCCCUUAUGGAUAUUUUUGUGAUUGUGAUGCUAUAGAUAAACAGCCCUUGUGUGGAAUGGCAGAAACCAACAGUAAAGUGUGCGAUGUAAGUCUGACACAUGUACAUAAUAACUUCACCAGAGUAAUCAUCAAGGAUAAAGAUGUUUGCAUAACUACAACACAUACACAUUUUUACCUGUCCAUCAAUGAUAGUCUUACAGGAUGCCAGAUAAAUACUACUUCAUUUUGCAUGACUCCCCCUACAGCUUGGUCCAUUGGGUCCUACCAUUUUCCAUAUGUAAAUACCACACGUCACAUUUUGUCUACUAGGCCGGAGGAUGAGUUAGGAUUUGUAGAAGAAAUCCCAGAAUUUGAUUUUGAACUACCCACGUUGGACAACAUGUUAAUGACUCUAAUGCAAAGAAAAGACAGUCAUAUCAUAAAAAUACAACAGGGGCUCCAGGGUAAGGAUGGUACUCUCAUCAGUCAAAUGCAUGAUGGAGAUGUAGACCUAGCCUACUCAAGUACAUUGUGGGAAUUGACAUUUAAAGCCGCCGUAUGCAUCUGUUUAAUACUGAUUUUGAUUCAAAGUGUUAUGAUUUGUUGUAUGUGUUCUGUCCUAAACCGACAAAGACUUAUAUUUUCAAAUGACAUUGUAAAGCAGUCCCCUUGGCUUGGGUAGUACCCAGUCUCAAAUAUCUCGGCCGCUGACUAUUUGUUAUAGUUCAUUAUUUAUCAGCAUGGCACCCAGGUUGUGGUGGUGAUAACAUCCACAGGGAAAGCAGAGGCAAUAGCAGGCAGCGCUCAGAGUAGGACCAGUGGAAUGAGGUGUUGCUCCAAUGACGGGUAAGGUUCUCCGCGUGAUAGGAGAGCAACCUAAGGCAGGACAGCACCGCCACUGAUGAAGACUAUGUGCAUGUGAUGCUUUAUUGCAAAUAAGCAUCAAACGGGGGACUGUAAGAAGUCUGUCUCUGAUGCCAAUAUGUCUGCUGGCCACACAUUCCCUUGAUCUUAUCAUUAUCACAAUACAGUUGGUACAAUGGUAGAAUAGCGACCGGGAGUGAGAGAUUGGGAACCAUUCAAGUCAACAGACGUGCUAAUUCAAUCACAACAGGACGGCCAAUACACUAUGGCCUAAUUGAUAGGUGUUACAAGGACUGACUACAUCCGUCUUGGUAUGUAUAUUCAACACUACUGAUCAAAGCUUCGAAAACAAAUAAGAAGCAGCCUCUGGAAAGGUUCGUGGUUCAUUCUGACUCUGCUGAAUCCAAGGUGUCAUUCGUGCGCUUUGUCACUGCCGGUAUUGGAAAUAAACUUUGUACUUUUUCAUCA